GCCUGAGGAGAGACAGAGGGUGCGAUCAUUCAGGGCCCCUGAGGAGAGGGCCGUGAUCGCUGAGGGGACUGGAGCCAAUCCCUUCUUCCUGCCCCUGAUGUUUCAGAUUAGUGUAAAGUCACCUGUGCCUGGCAAAUCUUCCAGACUGUCCUACUGGACUGGCAGGCCCAGAGCUAUCUCCUCUCUCUCAUCUACUUUUGCUUUUCAGCACCAAGUUGUGACCUGUCCAAGACAGGCUGGACCCCUACAAACUCAGCACAGUCCAAAGUUUUCUACAGAACCAUGCUAUCUCUGUGUGCCUCACAAGCGUGUAAGUAGCAGCAUUGCCUGGAAGAAAGGACACGGACCUGGGAGCCAGGGGAGUCCCCAGAAGGCCAAGACAGACCCCCUACACACACACCACUUCCUCUCCUCAGCGACCCACCCUACCUCGAUCUUCACCCUAAAGGCCAACUGAGACAGAGAGAGCAACUCAGUAUUCGAUCUGGACAGUCACCUGCCUGGGGCAGACUGGAAUUGUAGCUGCCUGAGGAGCAGAGAGCCUGCGAGGACGAGAGGGAGGGAAGAAGAAGCUGUUCCUUCCUCCAGAAAGGCUCGAACUCACAGGGUGGAGGCUGCUGGCACAGGGCCGGAGUAGCCUUAAAAUGAACUUGAGAGGAAUCCACCUAAGAGCUGGGGAGUUGCCAGCCAUCGCCCCAGUUGACUUGCUCCUGGCCCCAGCUAAGCAUGGUGACUCACCGUUGACCUCUGAAAGGCGGAAGUGGCCUCUGAGGCACAGGUGGGGUGGGCGCACCCUCCGGCAGAGGCUGAGGGGCUUCUGUGGCAGAUGAUGAGGGGGUGGGCCCCUGGCAGGGAAAGGGCAACAGAAAUGAGGGGCUCUCCCCUCACUCCCCCGCCUCCUCCUCCCCAAGCAGCAGCAUGUCCCUGGUGUGCUCCUCCUCCCGCUUGCCCUUGGAAGACUGUCACUUAUUAUCACGCUGACUUCUCCAGAUGGGGCAUUUUGACUAUUGAUCUGAUAAAUAAACAGCCUGCCCGCUCGAUCA